AUUGAACGCUGGCGGCAUGCUUUACACAUGCAAGUCGAACGGUAACAGGCCUUCGGGUGCUGACGAGUGGCUAACGGGUGAGUAAUGCAGCGGAACGUACCCAGAGUUGGGGGAUAACGCAGCGAAAGCUGUGCUAAUACCGCAUGUGAUCUGAGGAUGAAAUCGGGGGACCGAGCAGCAAUGUUUGGCCUCGCGCCUUUGGAGCGGCCGAUGGCGGAUUAGCUAGUUGGUGGGGUAAAGGCCUACCAAGGCGACGAUCCGUAGCUGGUCUGAGAGGACGAUCAGCCACACUGGGACUGAGACACGGCCCAGACUCCUACGGGAGGCAGCAGUGGGGAAUUUUGGACAAUGGGCGAAAGCCUGAUCCAGCAAUGCCGCGUGAGGGAAGAAGGCCUUCGGGUUGUAAACCGCUUUUGGCAGGAACGAAACGGUGUCCGCUAAUACCGGGCGCUAAUGACGGUACCUGCAGAAUAAGCAACGGCUAACUACGUG
rnacentral:rRNA from 1 species